GUGCUUGCCUUCGGCAUCACACUAUAGUAAAAUUGGAACAAACAGAGAAGAUGAACAUGGCUUCUGCUCAAGGAU
rnacentral:snRNA from 1 species